GCAUAUCAAUAAGCGGAGGAAAAGAAACUAACAAGGAUUCCCCUAGUAACUGCGAGUGAAGAGGGAAAAGCUCAAAUUUAAAAUCUGGCAGCUUCGCUGUCCGAGUUGUAAUUUAGAGAAGUGUUGCCCGCGCUGGACCGUGUACAAGUCUCCUGGAAUGGAGCGUCAUAGAGGGUGAGAAUCCCGUCUUUGACACGGACUCCCAGUGCAUUGUGGUACGCUCUCAAAGAGUCGUGUUGUUUGGGAAUGCAGCACUAAAUGGGUGGUAAAUUCCAUCUAAAGCUAAAUAUUGGCGAGAGACCGAUAGCAAACAAGUACCGUGAGGGAAAGAUGAAAAGAACUUUGGAAAGAGAGUUAAACAGUACGUGAAAUUGUUGAAAGGGAAACGCUUAAAGUCCAGUCGCGUCGGUUGGGAAUCAGUCUCGCUCUCUUGCUUGACGUACUUCCCAGCUGACGGGUCAGCAUCAGUUUUGAUCGUUGGAUAAAGGUUGGAGGAAUGUGGCACCUUCGGGUGUGUUAUAGCCUCUGAUUGUAUACAACGGUUGGGACUGAGGAACUCAGCACGCCGAAAGGCCGGGUACUUGUACCACGUACGUGCUUAGGAUGCUGGCAUAAUGGCUUUAAUCGACCCGUCUUGAAACACGGACC
rnacentral:rRNA from 1 species